rnacentral:lncRNA from 1 species
CUGAUCGAACUCCUUCGAUCGAUGUCUGUCGAUUCUUCGGAUGCUCCAGAUCAUCAACAGACAUGCUUGAGAGGAUGUUGAAGAUCUCUCUAAGAUUUUGUGGGCUCACGACACUCGUAGCUCACUUUCUCACUUCCCGAACCCCAGACUAAAACUCUAGGAAACUCACCGGAAACCUUUGCACCCACUUUUCUUUCUUUUCUUUCUUUUUCUCUUGGAAGGAUAUGGACUUUCUUCUCA